GAAACAGUAUCAACAUGUCUAUAUUAGAGCUUUUUUUAUUUGAUACACUAUCCAGAAAUUCAAGCCAAAAUUCAAGAAGAAAUUUGUAAUAUGCUUUCAGGUGAAAAAUAUAAUUCUUACAAUUAUCAUUUUUCUUUUUAAAUCAAAAAAAUAAUCUUUUUAAAGAUGGAAACAUUGGGCUGAAACCACCCAGAUUUGAAGACAGGAAAAUUUUACCAUACACAGAAGCUUUCAUAAGUGAAAUAUUCAGACAUGUCUCUUUUCUUCCAUUUACUAUUCCACAUUAUACUGCAGUGGACACUACUCUGAAUGGAUAUUUCAUUCCCAGGCAAAUUUGCACCUAUAUUAACAUGUAUCAAGUAAACCAUGAUGAAACUAUUUGGGAUAAUCCUAACUUAUUUAGACCUGAGAGAUUUCUAAACGAAAACAGAGAACUGAAUAAAAGUCUCAUCGAGAAAGUUUUGAUAUUUGGAAUGGGCAUCUGGAAGUGUCUGGGAGAAGAUGUUGCACGGAAUGAGAUAUUCAUUUUCAUCACUACUGUUCUGCAGCAGCUCAAGGUGAAAAAAUGCCCCAGAGCCCAGCUAAACCUGACUCCUACAUAUGGGUUAGCCAUGAGGCCAAAACCAUACCAACUCCAAGCAGAACUCCACUCCUCAGGUAGUUUAUCUGCUUAGAUUCUCGGAAUGGGCAGUAGGUUUCUUAUUUAAUUCAGAAAAAUAGAUGAUUUGAGUUUAUUUAACUAGCAAUGUAUAGUUCACAUCCCUGAGCUAUACUAUUAAUGCAACUCUGUGACAUAUUUUAUAAAGUAUGUUGUAUAGCUGUAGUUUCAACAUGAGACUUAUUGUCUUGUGAGGAUAUUUUAAUAUAAUAAUGAAGUGUGAGCCUCACACAGUGGUGUCCCAGGUGUCAUGUGGGUGUGAGUGGUGGAUU